rnacentral:sRNA from 1 species
UUGACAGCCCUGAAGAGAAAAGUGCUGUUUCUCUCCUCAGGGAGCAGCAUGAGAAACUUUCUCCACACUGUCCUGACUGUGUGCCUCAAUCCAGACCUGGAGGGACCACCUAAGGUGCAGGAACAGGAGAGGUCAAUCCCCUGCUCUGUCCUGCUGCCACG